AUUGAACGCUGGCGGCAGGCCUAACACAUGCAAGUCGAGCGGAUGAAGGGAGCUUGCUCCUGGAUUCAGCGGCGGACGGGUGAGUAAUGCCUAGGAAUCUGCCUGGUAGUGGGGGAUAACGUCCGGAAACGGGCGCUAAUACCGCAUACGUCCUGAGUGAGAAAGUGGGGGAUCUUCGGACCUCACGCUAUCAGAUGAGCCUAGGUCGGAUUACCUAGUUGGUGGGGUAAAGGCCUACCAAGGCGACGAUCCGUAACUGGUCUGAGAGGAUGAUCAGUCACACUGGAACUGAGACACGGUCCAGACUCCUACGGGAGGCAGCAGUGGGGAAUAUUGGACAAUGGGCGAAAGCCUGAUCCAGCCAUGCCGCGUGUGUGAAGAAGGUCUUCGGAUUGUAAAGCACUUUAAGUUGGGAGGAAGGGCAGUAAGUUAAUACCUUGCUGUUUUGACGUUACCAACAGAAUAAGCACCGGCUAACUUCGUG
rnacentral:rRNA from 1 species